rnacentral:rRNA from 1 species
GAUGAACGCUGGCGGCGUGCCUAAUACAUGCAAGUCGAGCGAAAAGACGAGGUGCUUGCUCCACUGACGUUAAAGGCGGACGGGAGAGUAACAUGAGGAUCACCUAACUAUAAGACUAGGAUAACUUAGGGAAACUGGAGCUAAUACUGGAUACUAUCUUCAACCGCAUGGUUCAAUAGCGCAAGCCGGUUUUGAUGUAACCUCUAGCUGUCUCCGCGUCGCUUUGGUGAGUUGGUAAGGUAACGGCUUACCAUUGCCACGAUGCGUAGCCGACCUGCCAGGGGGAACGCCGACACUGAGAGUGAGACACGAUCCAGACUCCGAGGGAAGGCAGCAGUAGGGAAUCGUCGGCAAAGGGCGGAAUCUUGACGGAGCGACGCCGCGUGGAUGAUGAAGGUCUGCGGGUCGGAUAACUCUGUUAUGAUUGAAGAACAAUUUUAGAAGGAACUAUGCAUUUCUUGACGGUACCUAAACAGAAAGCCACGGCUAACUACGUG